GAUGAACGCUAGCGGGAGGCUUAAUACAUGCAAGUCGAACGGUAACAGUUCCUUCGGGAAGCUGACGAGUGGCGCACGGGUGCGUAACGCGUACACAAUCUACCUAUCAGAGGGGGAUAGCCUUUGGAAACGAAGAAUAAUACCCCAUGGUAUUGUAUGGUCGCAUGGUCGUACAAUUAAAAUUCAGGUGCUGAUAGAUGGGUGUGCGUCCCAUUAGGUAGUUGGUAGGGUAAUGGCCUACCAAGCCGACGAUGGGUAGCGGGUCUGAGAGGAUGAUCCGCCACACGGGCACUGAGACACGGGCCCGACUCCUACGGGAGGCAGCAGUAAGGAAUAUUGGUCAAUGGGGGAAACCCUGAACCAGCCAUCCCGCGUGCAGGAUGACUGCCCUAUGGGUUGUAAACUGCUUUUAUUAAGGAAGAAGACGUUUCAUUUAUGAGACGUUAGACGGUACUUAAAGAAUAAGCACCGGCUAACUCCG
rnacentral:rRNA from 1 species